UCCGGCUUAUCACCGGCGGUUUCUUUAGAGUGCCCAACUAAAUGAUGGCAACUAAAGACGAGGGUUGCGCUCGUUGCGGGACUUAACCCAACAUCUCACGACACGAGCUGACGACGGCCAUGCAGCACCUGUGCUAGAGUCCCGAAGGAGGCCUCCGCUUUCACGGAGCUUUCUCUAGCAUGUCAAGCCCAGGUAAGGUUCUUCGCGUUGCUUCGAAUUAAGCCACAUGCUCCGCCGCUUGUGCGGGCCCCCGUCAAUUCCUUUGAGUUUUAGCCUUGCGGCCGUACUCCCCAGGCGGUCAACUUCACGCGUUAGCUUCGUUACCAAGGAAUUGCUUCCCCGACAACCAGUUGACAUAGUUUAGGGCGUGGACUAC
rnacentral:misc_RNA from 1 species